UGUGGCAGAAUAGUGCUAUAAAUUUAAGAUUUAUCUAAAAAGAAAAUCUUUCCUUAGAA
rnacentral:tRNA from 1 species